rnacentral:lncRNA from 1 species
GAUGGAAUCCUUGAAGCUGCUGAAUAUCAUCCUCUUGUGCCCCAGUUGUCGAUCACUGAAGAUAAAGCUGAGGUAAUUGCUAUCCAAAUAACACUGUUUCCGAAUCAGGGCUUUUCGAUUGGCGUUUCAGCUCACCAUGCAGUUCUUGAUGGCAAAAGUACAACCUUGUUUAUCAAAUCUUGGGCUUAUUUGUGCAAACAAUUAAAAUUACAACAACAACAACAACAACAACAAGAACAAACGUACUUGCCACCGGAGUUAACCCCAUGUUUUGACCGGACGGUCGUCAAAGACCCGGACGGGAUCGACAUGAUCUACCUCAAACACUGGAUGUCCGGAUCUUCUUCCAACAGGCGAAGCUUGAAUGUUAUGCCUGUUAAACCAGAAAACUAUUAUUCCAACUUGGUCCGAAUGACAUUUGAAUUGAACCGUGAAGACAUAAACAAACUGAGGGAAAAAGUAAACAAAGUACUUUACUCCACUCAAGGCGGUGCACAGUAUUUGUCGUCUUUUGUGAUUACUUGUGCUCAUGUGUUUGUCUGGCUGGUUAAAGCCAGAGAUGUAGAAGCUAACACAACUGUUAGGUUUGUGAUAGCAACGGAUUGUAGGAGCCGUUUGGAUCCUCCAAUUCCUGCUAAUUAUUUU